rnacentral:rRNA from 1 species
GACGAACGCUGGCGGCGUGCUUAACACAUGCAAGUCGAACGAUGAAGCCUAGCUUGCUAGGUGGAUUAGUGGCGAACGGGUGAGUAAUACGUGAGUAACCUACCUUUAACUCUGGGAUAAGCCCGGGAAACUGGGUCUAAUACCGGAUACGACCAAUCUCCGCAUGGGGUGUUGGUGGAAAGCGUUAUGUAGUGGUUAUAGAUGGGCUCACGGCCUAUCAGCUUGUUGGUGAGGUAACGGCUCACCAAGGCGACGACGGGUAGCCGGCCUGAGAGGGUGACCGGCCACACUGGGACUGAGACACGGCCCAGACUCCUACGGGAGGCAGCAGUGGGGAAUAUUGCACAAUGGGCGCAAGCCUGAUGCAGCGACGCCGCGUGAGGGAUGACGGCCUUCGGGUUGUAAACCUCUGUUAGCAGGGAAGAAGAGAGAUUGACGGUACCUGCAGAGAAAGCGCCGGCUAACUACGUGCCAGCAGCCGCGGUAAUACGUAGGGCGCGAGCGUUGUCCGGAAUUAUUGGGCGUAAAGAGCUUGUAGGCGGUUUGUCGCGUCUGCUGUGAAAGGCCGGAGCUUAACUCCCGUGUAUUGCAGUGGGUACGGGCAGACUAGAGUGCAGUAGGGGAGACUGGAAUUCCUGGUGUAGCGGUGGAAUGCGCAGAUAUCAGGAGGAACACCGAUGGCGAAGGCAGGUCUCUGGGCUGUAACUGACGCUGAGAAGCGAAAGCAUGGGGAGCGAACAGGAUUAGAUACCCUGGUAGUCCAUGCCGUAAACGUUGGGCACUAGGUGUGGGGAACAUUCCACGUUUUCCGCGCCGUAGCUAACGCAUUAAGUGCCCCGCCUGGGGAGUACGGCCGCAAGGCUAAAACUCAAAGAAAUUGACGGGGGCCCGCACAAGCGGCGGAGCAUGCGGAUUAAUUCGAUGCAACGCGAAGAACCUUACCAAGGCUUGACAUAUACUGGACCGCAUCAGAGAUGGUGUUUCCCUUCGGGGCUGGUAUACAGGUGGUGCAUGGUUGUCGUCAGCUCGUGUCGUGAGAUGUUGGGUUAAGUCCCGCAACGAGCGCAACCCUCGUUCUAUGUUGCCAGCACGUUAUGGUGGGGACUCAUAGGAGACUGCCGGGGUCAACUCGGAGGAAGGUGGGGAUGACGUCAAAUCAUCAUGCCCCUUAUGUCUUGGGCUUCACGCAUGCAACAAUGGCCGGUACAGAGGGUUGCGAUACUGUGAGGUGGAGCUAAUCCCUAAAAGCCGGUCUCAGUUCGGAUUGGGGUCUGCAACUCGACCCCAUGAAGUCGGAGUCGCUAGUAAUCGCAGAUCAGCAACGCUGCGGUGAAUACGUUCCCGGGCCU